AGAACGGGAUUAGCCUUAUGAAGCUGGGCGGGGUGACUCAUGGCAUCCUCACAUGCCCUAACUUUCCGGGAUCCCGAGGAACAAAGAGCCGCGGGCAGGUUCCAGCAGCAUCUCAGGGGAUGGCUCUUCUUCCCGCGCCUCUUUGCAAAGACCCGCUGGGCCUUGAACAUCGCUCAGUCCCCACAGCAAGGCUCCGCCGGGUGACACCUGCCUGGAGUCGUGCGACGGAACCGCACAGAGCGCAGUGGCCACAGGAUACUCCAAAUACUAGGAGGUUGCCCCUGUCCCUCCUCCUCCCCCCACCCCCUCCGUCCCAGUUCCAUGUCUGCCUGUUUCCAGGCCACCAACUCUGGCUCAGAACUCACCCGACGCCCCAAGAGAACAGGGCUGGUCUGCGAUCCCAGCAGAAGAGGAUGAAAAGCCCACCAUCUGCCGCCUGCAAGCUGGAGACCCAGGAGAGCCGGAGGUGUGACAGUCUGAGUCCAAAGGCGCAAGAACCAGGGAGCUAAUGGUGCAUGUCUGUAUUUUAAAAUCAGUAUUGCUAACUGCAGAGCUGGAGACAUCGUGUUGCUGUUACAGAAACCUCAAGCUUUAUUGGGUAAGCUGGAAACAGCUUUGGGAGCCAGGAGAACUGCCUGUACCGGGGGUGCAGAGGCAGAAGUGAGAGCAUCAUCAACAGCGUCCGUCCAUACUUCCUACCCACGUUAGGAGCUGCCCUUAUUUGGGACCACAUUUUCUAGCCCAUCCUGCAGUCAGAGGCAUCCAUACUAGUGCAGUUGAGUAAGGAAUACGAGCAGAACUGUACCCAUAAGACCCUCCCCUGAGGCCCCUCCACACUUUUCCCUUUUGAAAAAAUGAGGAUGGUCAAAGGAGGACCUUAGAAGCUACACGCAAAAGAUGGCGGAGUCUUUGUGUACAAGUUGGACAACUAUGAACACACUCACUGACUUAGUUCUGCGUGUUCUUAUGCUACUUUCUGUGUUGAAGCUAUUACAUAUUUCAGGAUAUUACUUAUAUUUAUUUUAGGGUUGCUUGUUAUAGUAACUAGCCCACCCUAUUACAAGUAAGUUGUAUUGAUUAGGAGUGAUCUUAGAGAAAUGUGGAACAGUUUCUCAGCUGCCCCAAAAGCAUCCACUCUGACCUUUGUAAUUUGGGUGACAUCUUUUUUAGAGAUUUUAGACUUCUAUAUUCUGUCUUAUGGCAGAAUAUAAAGUUGAUUAAAAUGAAGAAUACAAGGAUGAUGAAGAUAACAUAAAUGCUAUCACUCAAAUGUCUUCCAUACACUUGAAGGCAUAUAAUUUAUGCCAUCCAAGACUGAUGAAUUACCUAAAUAUGCCCUUCAUAGUAGAGAUCCCACAGUUAGACUAAUAUCUCCAAAGACCUUAGACAGCAAUAUCUUUGUUUGCCAACUUGUUAAAACUAAAACAUUUAGCAAAAUUCAAGCUAUAAUAAAAAGAGCUGGUGGCAGCUUAUUAUGUUUAAUGACAAUCACAAACUUUUGGCUUACUGGAGGCAAAACUCCACUGCAAAGAAGAAUGUAUGGAUACACUUUAACUAAUAAAUAAAUACACAAUUAGCUAAAUAUGGUCUAGAAUUCUGUGUAUUAAUAUAAAGCAAGGGCCAGCAAAGUUUUUCUAUAAAGGGUCAAACAGGAAAUAUCUUAGGCUUUGUGGGCCAGACAGUCUCAGUAGAAACUGCCCAAAUGUGCUGUGGCACCAAAAGCAGCCUCAGGUAGGACAUAAAUGAGCAGACAUGGCUGGCUGCCAAUAAAACAUUAUUUACGAAAACAUCUCUGCACUGGAUUUGGCCCAUGUGCCUGAGUUUGCCAGUCCCUGAUGUAAAGAAUCUAUAUUCUUGUGUGUGUAGAGAAAGUUUUGUAUCCUAUAGAGCACAUCCUUCAGGGUUAUCAGAUUCUAAUUCUGUGCAUUGUCUGAGGUUUUUUGUAAUUCUUUGUAAGUUAGAAGUAACUGAUUUAACUGGCUUCCUCCCCCCCCCAUCCUCUCCAGUCUUGUGCCCACUUCCAAUAGAUCUCUACCUUCCCUUAUUCCACGUGCAUUUGUGCUGUUUAGACUUUUCCAUUGAAUGGGUCGUCACAUCUGCCUGGUUUCCUCACAACAUAUGUGUUACAUAAAUUCUUAUUUAGUUAUUUAUUUAUUGGCUGCAUUGGGUCUACAUUGCUGCGUGCCGGCUUUCUCUA